ACCCGAGCUCAUCUGACGAUGUGAACAGCCUCCUGAGACCUACAGGAAUGUGAUGACAUCAGUCGUUGUCCCCCUAGCUGGUCCACUUUAGCUCAUGGUAUCCUCUGACGACUUCCCUGGAAGGAGACGCUCCCUUACAGAUGGGGAAGCUGGGCCUUUUGGCUGAAGUCAUUGAUUCCUGAGGUCACACAGUUGUAGGUGAGCUGGGAUUACUCAGUGGCCUGGCCGGGUGUGGGCACCUGUGGAUCCUGGUGGGGGUGUGGGCUGCUCAGCGCUGGGUGACCACAGCGGGACUGAUGUGCAAGGCCAGGGUACUGUGGGUUCUUACCCGUCGGGCCUCCCUCCACAUUUGGGUUUGCAGGGGUCCUGACUCCUAACUCCGGGCGUGUCCACGUGAGGGGGGAAGAUCACUAAACUCUGUCAACAUGAUGGGGAUUUUUAAGAACAUCCUUGCUCAGGCCUGGGGUUGCUAUGUUUCUGUGUUCUUGGCUCACUGUGUUUUCCUGGAAAAAUAAAUAAAAAACACUGGCCAAUAGGUUUAUUGCCAUAUAUCAUUCGUGACAAAGAUGGUUAUCUUUCUUAGUUACUAAUCACCUUGGGAUUUCUAAUGUUUAUUUAUUUUUGAGAGAGAUAGAGCAUGAGUGGGGGAGGGGCAGAGAGAGAGGGAGACACGGAAUCUGAAACAGGCUCCAGGCUCCGAGCUGUCAGCACAGAGCCUGACGCGGGGCUCGAACCCACAACCUGUGAGAUCGUGACCUGAGCCGAAGUCGGACACUUAACCGACGGAGCCCCCCAGGUGCCCCAGUCAUCUUGGGGUUUCUAGAUGUGCUCACGUUUGGGCCCCAAGACGUGGUGUUGUCAGGGGCUCUCUCUUCAGGAGAAAGGCCACGGGGUCCAUAAACCCUGAGACCGGGUUGGGGGCCCUGGGGGAGGCUGGAGAGGAGUGAGGACUUGAGGAGCAGCCGUGAGAUUAGUUUUUCUUUUCCUCUGCACCCGGAACAGGGCAGAAGGUGUCAGGACAGACACGGGUGGCGGCCCCCCUGUUCCGGGUGCUCACUGUUGAGCCCGUUUGACCUGCUGACCUCGUGUUACACACGAGGAAAUGGAAGUCCUCCAAGGCGAAACAACACCCAGGCGCCAGGACCAUCUGCUACCGGCCCCAGCCCAGAUGAUACAGUUAGAACCUACCCACAGCAUCCUCUCCCGCCUUCAGACAGUUCCAGGAACAAGGGUGAGUCAGUCGCCCAGCUGAACUCCUGUCUUGCUACCCUGAGAGCUGGCCUCAGUGCCAGCAGACGGGCCGCUCCUGCCAGAGGGGCAGGUGCCCCUAGCGGCUUCUCAGCCCCUGGAAGGGCACCCCCACUCCCCCAGCACUGCUGUCUGCAGGGAGAGCCGAGGAAGGCCCCUGGAGAGCUCCAGCCAGCUCUUCUCAGCUAAGCCCCACCCCCUGGGGCUGCAGUCUGGUUCUCCAGUUCCACUGCACAUGUGACAGCUUCCACCGCAGCUCCUCAGGAAGCCCGCUGCAGAGAAGCAAGGUCCAGAGGUCUCUGGAAGGACCCCUGGGUCUUUUCUGGGGGGUGCCAAGAGGUUGGGCCCCUUCUCGCUGGGCGGGGUGGGCCCAGCCCCGGGAGGAUGUCAUUAAACACUGACCGCAGGCACUCAGCGGGAGGCUUUGCUCGCUUGCCCUCCUUCCCUCACCUCCACACCUCCAGGCUCUCUGUGAAUAGAGGCUAUUGCACCGGGCGGAUAGCGCAGAGACUGCACUCAGGUCGUGACUCUGGGUGCUGCCAGGGCAAGGUGUACGUAAUCCCCUGAGCCUCAGUCUGUUCGCCUGUAAAGUGGGGGGAAAUCUGACCUACUUCCGAGGGUGUCUGAGCAGUCAAGAGUGGGAGGGACCUGGUACAGCACCUGGCUAUUAUUUUCUCUAUCAUGAACUUCAGAGGGUCUGUCCUUUGAAUGGCCCACAAUGCUGGGGGACUUUUCGACAACGUGGGCCGUAACUCAGCACUUCCCCCCCACGCACUCUCCGUGGGCCUGGCCUCUCUCCUCCUGCCAGCUGGCUGUUUUUGCUGCAGGGACCCAGGUUUAUGAAGCACAUGGGCUGCAGCUGACUGGCUCCCAGGGGUGUGAUCAUCAGAACCACUGCCCUCCCCACCCCCGCCGGUGACAGAAGCCCCUGGAACUCGCAGGCCCGGGGUUUUCUCAGUGCCCCUCCGUCCCUCUGACCCUGCUGCUCUUCCCCGGGGUGGGGGCCCGUGCCCGGCUGGCCUCGCCCUUCAUUUCCCCGCGACCCCCCAGCCGCGUCGCCGAGCAUUAUCGGGCGUGUGCAGCCGGCGGUGGCCCGGGAGCGCCCCGGGAGCGGGCGUGGGGCCGAGGCCCGCCGGCGCCGCUUCCUGUCCCGGGAGUCAAUCUGCCGCUGCUCUGCGGAGUCCUACAG
rnacentral:lncRNA from 1 species